CCCAAAUUUCUUCCAUACUAUUUUUGUAGCCACUUGCUGAUUAUUAUUAUUAUUAAAAUUAGAUGCUGUUCUACCACUCGUUAAUUUCUUAUGAAAUUUUUUGGCACCUAAUUGUUACAUUUAAUUUAUGGCAUGGUAUCUCACUAGGAGAAUUUGUGCAUUCUAGUGUAGUACUCGUAUUGAAUUAUUUGUCAUGCUAAAGAAAGGAACACAAAAUUGGAUUGUCAAGAGAAUUCUGAGGAUUCUCGUGAAGAGAUUUAGAAAUGAAAUCAAGGUAAACGAAGCCCAGGAGCGAGCCUUCAAAUUAGCACAUUCAUGAGCUGAAUAUAUAUAACCCAUAUCCACAGCAUGAGAAAGUAAUAUAUCGGCACAGUUGGCUUUUCUUUUUUCUCAAUAAUGACCCGGUUGGCUGGGGCAGCUUGCCUGCGACCAUCCUAUGAGACUUUGUAAGUUGUCGAACAGCAUUGGCACGUCACAUGGGCGUGCAUUGAAUGGAGUCUGAGAGAGCUCAGCGUAACCCAUUUGCCUGGGGCUCAGCCUAUGAGACUUUUGCAAGUUGGACAUCACAGGGGCAUGCAUUCAAUGGAUUCUGAGAUGUAUUGCUUAAAUUUUAAUUACCAUCAGACAGUUUUGUGUCUAUAUGUUAUGGCCUUUGCAAGGACUGUAACUGCCUUUGUUCAGUUUUUCCGGUAUCAAUUUCUUCAAGCAUGUCAGGGUCCCCAUGCAUACUGGGUAGCCUUUGACAUACACCUGUUUUAUUGUUAUUAUUAUUAUUAUUAUUAUUAUGUCCUUACAAUCGCUUAAAUAAACUCCAAAACUUGAUAUUGUCAA